UUGGUAGGGGCACGAUUGUGUAACAGGUCAGGGGUUGCGAGGCGGCUGGACGCGCUGUCACUCCGCGUUGCGGUGAUGGUUUGCCCUGCAACUGAUCUCGUUCGCAUUGUGACGGCGAUCGCCUUGUAUCGUCAGUCACGUUAGUAAAUUGUCGAUCGCGUUGUUAUCGUCAGUUCACAUCGCGGCGGUAACAGCGAGGGCGGGAGCGAGAGCGACGCCGCUUCAACCCGAAGGCCCUCGCCUCAAUCGCAGCCCAAAAGGCGGCCCUGUAUGUGAGCGAGACGCCGGGGCGUGCCACGAAUCCUGCCAUCUCCCUCGAUGUCCCGUCGUCCUCCCGCGCACCACCACCGUCGUCACCACUAAUCCUCCUCCUCUUCCACUUCACCAUCCGCCUCCUCUGCCCAGCGGCCCCCCCCCCCCCCCCCUCUGCCCACCCCCCCCCCCCUCCUCUGCCCCCCGCGGUGCCGAUGAGCGCGUACGAGCGUUCGCUGUGCCGCUUCGUGGACGCCGGUCGCUCGGGCCGGCGGAACGCGUUGCCCGACAUCAUGGCGGCGCCGUCCUCGGUGGGCACGGCGGGCCUCUCGGAGCAGCUGGCGCACGCCCUCACGCUGCUGGGGCCCGGAGAGCCACCGACUGGCCUGACUCAGGGUUGUCUUCAGAGCGAUGGCUCGGCGGCCAGGCUCGGAGACGGAACGGAACCCAAGCGAUGAGGGUUUCUCCACCGGCCCCUUUGCACAAGUCUAGGGAACACUGAACACUAGUCACACUGGACACAAGUCACACUGAACACUAGUCACACUGAACACUAGUCACACUGAACACUAGUCACACUGAACACCAGUCACAGUGAACACUAGUCACACUGAACACCAGUCACACUGCACACUAGUCACACUGCACACCAGUCACACUGCACACUAGUCACACUGAACACUAGUCACACUGCACACUAGUCACACUGAACACUAGUCACACUGAACACUAGUCACACUGAACACUAGUCACACUAUUCACACUGAACACUAGUCACACUAGUCACACUGAACACCAGUCACACUGAACACUAGUCACACUGAACACAAGUCACACUGAACACUAGUCACACUGAACACCAGUCACACUGAACACUAGUCACACUGAACACUAGUCACACUGAACACCAGUCACAUUGAACACUAGUCACACUGAACACCAGUCACACUGAACACUAGUCACACUGCACACUAGUCACUGCACACUAGUCACACUGAACACCAGUCACACUGAACAUCAGUCACACUGAACACCAGUCACACUGAACACCAGUCACACUGAACACCAGUCACACUGAACACCAGUCACACUGAACACCAGUCACACUGAACAUUAGUCACACUGAACAUUAGUCACACUGAACAUUAGUCACACUGAACACCAGUCACACUGCACACUAGUCACACUGAACACUAGUCACACUCGUCACACCAGUCACAUAGAACACUCAAUCGAACAUAAAAUGCACACACUCGUCACAGGCAUACUGGACACGACUCAAUAGCACAUUGACCACGAUGCAGGUACACAAUUAACACUAGGCAAUGUAAUACUGAACACUUACCCACGUGUCUUUAGAAAACUAUUCAAGUUCUUACUGACCACGAGUCAAAAUGAAUGCUAUUCAGCUACACAUUGAACAAUGCUGAACACUAUGCAGAUGUAUACUGCACACUGGUCAUACUGUGCAUACAUAACACUAUUCAACAGCAUACUGAACAGCGUUCAUAUGGCAUCUUGAACAGUGUUCAUGAGCUUACUGAACACUUCGGUUGCAUAAGCAUACUGAACUAAUGCAAACUGAACACUACCUAUAAUCAACAUUAUGCAGGUGUGUACUUAACACAAAUGAUACCGAACACUACUCACUGGCAAACGGAACAAUCAAACUGGCGUAUACGGAACUCUAUUCAAUAGCAUGCUGAGCACUAUGCAGUUGCUGAUUGAACACUAAUCACAUGGCACACAAAAGCCAUAUUGAACACUAGUCAACUAGCCAAGUGCACAGUGACCACUAGUUAAGUGCAUGCUGACCACCACUAGUCAUGCUGAACGCUUGUCCAGCGCACACUUUCGGUUGGGAAUUGGCCAAAAAUCCCGAGCCUCGAGACUUGGUGAGGCUUUUGCUGGGUAAAACAGCGCAGGAGCCACUGUUGUUUUGGGCGGUCAUUCACGGGAGCAAAACUUGCACAGAGCUCCGGUCGAACCUCUCCCGCGCACAGAGAGACCCUACGAUUGAUCUUUCGUACGGGAUCGACGGCAUUGUUAGCGAGCACCUUUCAAAGCCGGAAUGGCACGCGAGGGCGCCAGCAUUUAAGGCUAGGUCCACCUAGGGGAGGCCCAAAAUAGCUUGCCGGUGAUGUUUGCCACGGCCAGGAAUCAAACCCGGGUCGCUGGGAAAAUGCAGCGCAGCGUGAAACCCACUGCCCUACAGCUUAAGACAAAGACCCCCGUAUAGCCUUAACAGGCAUUUGGGGCAAGUGCUGUUCGCGAGUACCCAUGGUGGCCGGCAUUGCACACCAGGGGGUGGGUAGCCAGCACCACGUCUCCCUAGUGGCGAUCUUGACACACCGCACCAGGUCCCCAUUUGAAGUUGAGUCGACCUUGGGGAGGCCCAGAAACGUUUUCAGAUAAUUAUCGUGACCGGUGUUGGCUGUGAGCACGAAUCAAACGCGGGUUCGCUGGGUUCAUCGCGUAGCACGCUUGCCACUAUGCCACCGCUCCCCGGGCUUAACGCAGACAAAUAUUCCCCUUGUAGCCUGAGCAGACUUUGGGGAAAGUGCCGUUAGCGAGCACCUCAGCUUAACGCGCACACGCGCACAACGCGCCUCGCGUACGCACAAUAGCACGUGCUCAUCUCAUGCGUAGAAGGUACGCGCAUCUGCACACAGCUCUUAACUGGACGAAUAACACACAAGCACGUAGCUGCACACGUGACACGCGCUAACUGGAAGGGAACAACAGAACAGGGGCCAUAGUUUCGCCUUUUGACUCGCGGCCUCUGCAAAUAUUUAUUUUGUUUGCCGAUCGGAGCUAGCGUUUUGCCAACAUUUUCCAACGAGCGUAGAGGCUACUGCGAUCGAUUCUCUCGCCUUGUGCUCUGCCUCGGAAAUUUACCGUCGCAGCCACUUAGUCAAUUCGCUGCUGGGGGUUGGGGUUCUCGCCCCCCCCCCCACUGCCUGCCGCACAACUCGUGCGGGUUGUCUGACCAUACUUCACCACCCUGGGUCAAUGUGUGCGGCUGGUGGAGGCUGAGGGGGUGGGGGGGGGUCGGGGAGCACCCGCGGGUGAUGGGAGCACAGAAGCACUGCGCAGCGAUUGACUUUUGCCGGCGUUUUUCUUCCAUUUCCCACCCGUAAGAGCCUAUAGCAACUUGUUUUGGUGCGCGGGGGUCGCCCAUCCAAUCACUGUCCAGGCUCAAACCCCCGCUUAGCUUCUGAUGUUAAAUGCUUUUUAAAAAAAAAAUUGUUCGCUUGGUAUUUCUGUCGUCAUGGCAACGCGAGGCUAUCGCGAAGGUGAGGCGUUUGGGUUACGUGACGUGUUGGCGCCUCACAAAAUAUAGUCGUGUAAAGUCACGGAUUGAUAUAGUCGGCUAGUACAGGGGGUGUGAUGUUUGCGAUGUGGCGUUUACGCACCUGGGCGAAUCUUUUUCAAACUCGGAAAAUAUGAUCUCUUAAGUGUCCAUCGGUCCGAGCAGCCUCUUGUCGACGACGAAUAUUUAUUUACAAACGAACGCUUCCCCCCGUGUAGACGACGGAGGACGCUUUUGCUUUUUUUGCUUCGAGUUCGGUCGAGCACGGCUUGGCUUGGGAGGGAGUUGUUUGCGGAUACGGGACGCGGAGUGGCCACCCGUCCACUUGAAUGGCGGUGCCGCUGGUGGUAAGGGAGAGCCCUCCCAUGCGGUCGUCAGGCGAGGGGGGCACACCGACGCUCCGAGCGUUUAGCAGGGGCGCAGCCACCGGCAGGCGUCGUCGGGGUUCCAGAUACACCCAACAUGUUCCAGAUGUGGCACAGAGACACGGCGGGUUUAGACGUGGCUAAGAUACACAACAGAUGUAGAUGUGGCUGAGAGACACGACUGGUUUAGACGUGGCUAGGAUAGACAGCAGAUGUAGAUGUGGCUGAGAGACACGACUGGUUUAGACGUGGCUAGGUGUCACAACAGAUGUAGAUGUGUCUGAGACACGACUGGUUUAGACGUAGCUAGGAGACACAACAGAUUUAGACGUGGCACAGAGACACGGCUGGUUUAGACGUGGCUAGGAUAGACAGCAGAUGUAGAUGUGGCUAAGAGACACGACUGGUUUAGACGUAGCUAGGUGUCACAGCAGAUGUAGAUGUGGCUGAGAGACACGACUGGUUUAGACGUGGCUAGGUGUCACAACAGAUACAGAUGUGGCUAAGAGACACAACUGGUUUAGACGUGGCUAGGUGUCACAACAGAUAUAGAUGUGGCUGAGAGACACGACUGGUUUAGAUGUGGCUAGGAUACACAGCAGAUGUAGAUGUGGCUAAGAGACACGACAGGUUUAGACGUGGCUAGGUGUCACAACAGAUAUAGAUGUGGCUAAGAGACACGACUGGUUUAGACGUGGCUAGGUGUCACAAGAAAUGUAGAUGUGGCUGAGAGACACGACUGGUUUAGACGUGGCUAGGUGUCACAACAGAUAUAGAUGUGGCUAAGAGACACGACUGGUUUAGACGUGGCUAGGAUACACAGCAGAUAUAGAUGUGGCUAAGAGACACGACUGGUUUAGACGUGGCUAGGUGUCACAACAGAUAUAGAUGUGGCUAAGAGACACGACUGGUUUAGACGUGGCUAGGAGACACAGCAGAUGUAGAUGUGGCUGAGAGACACGACUGGUUUAGACGUGGCUAGGAUACACAACAAAUGUAGAUGUGGCUAAGAGACACGACUGGUUUAGACGUGGUUAUGAUACACAGCAGAUGUAGAUGUGUAUAAGAGACACGACUGGUUUAGACGUGGCUAGGUGUCACAAUAGAUGUAGAUGUGGCUAAGAGACACGACUGGUUUAGACGUAGCUAGGUGUCACAACAGAUAUAGAUGUGGCUAAGAGACACGACUGGUUUAGACGUGGCUAGGUGUCACAACAGAUGUAGAUGUGGCUGAGAGACACGACUGGUUUAGACGUGGCUAGGUGUCACAACAAAUGUAGAUGUGGCUGAGAGACACGACUGGUUUAGAUGUGGCUAGGUGUCACAACAGAUAUAGAUGUGGCUAAGAGACACGAUGGGUUUAGACGUAGCUAGGAUACACAGCAGAUGUAGAUGUGGCUGAGAGACACGACGGGUUUAGACGUGGCUAGGUGUCACAACAGAUGUAGAUGUGGCUGAAAGACACGGCUGGUUUAGACGUAGCUAGGAUACACAGCAGAUGUAGAUGUGGCUAAGAGACACGACUGGUUUAGACGUGGCUAGGUGUCACAACAGAUAUAGAUGUGGCUGAGAGACACGGCUGGUUUAGACGUGGCUAGGAUACACAGCAGAUAUAGAUGUGGCUGAGAGACACGACUGGUUUAGACGUAGCUAGGAUACACAGCAGAUGUAGAUGUGGCUGAGAGACACGACUGGUUUAGACGUGGCUAGGUGUCACAAUAGAUGUAGAUGUGGCUAAGAGACACGACUGGUUUAGACGUAGCUAGGUGUCACAACAGAUAUAGAUGUGGCUAAGAGACACGACUGGUUUAGACGUGGCUAGGUGUCACAACAGAUGUAGAUGUGGCUGAGAGACACGACUGGUUUAGAUGUGGCUAGGUGUCACAACAGAUAUAGAUGUGGCUAAGAGACACGAUGGGUUUAGACGUAGCUAGGAUACACAGCAGAUGUAGAUGUGGCUGAGAGACACGACGGGUUUAGACGUAGCUAGGAUACACAGCAGAUGUAGAUGUGGCUGAGAGACACGACUGGUUUAGACGUAACUAGGUGUCACAACAGAUAUAGAUGUGGCUAAGAGACACGACUGGUUUAGACGUAGCUAGGUGUCACAACAGAUAUAGAUGUGGCUAAGAGACACGACUGGUUUAGACGUGGCUAGGUGUCACAACAGAUAUAGAUGUGGCUAACAGACACGACUGGUUUAGACGUGGCUAGGUGUCACAACAGAUGUAGAUGUGGCUGAGAGACACGACUGGUUUAGACGUGGCUAAGAUACACAACAGAUAUAGAUGUGGCUGAGAGACACGACUGGUUUAGACGUAGCUAGGAUACACAGCAGAUGUAGAUGUGGCUAAGAGACACGGCUGGUUUAGACGUGGCUAGGUGUCACAACAGAUGUAGAUGUGGCUGAGAGACACGACUGGUUUAGACGUGGCUAGGAGACACAGCAGAUGUAGAUGUGGCUUAGAGACACGACUGGUUUAGACGUGGCUAGGUGUCACAACAGAUGUAGAUGUGGCUAAGAGACACGACUGGUUUAGACGUGGCUAGGUGUCACAACAGAUGUAGAUGUGGCUGAAAGACACGGCUGGUUUAGACGUAGCUAGGAUACACAGCAGAUGUAGAUGUGGCUAAGAGACACGACUGGUUUAGACGUGGCUAGGAUACACAGCAGAUGUAGAUGUGGCUGAGAGACACGACUGGUUUAGACGUGGCUAGGUGUCACAACAAAUGUAGAUGUGGCACAGAGACACGACUGGUUUAGACGUAGCUAGGAGACACAGCAGAUGUAGAUGUGGCUAAGAGACACGACUGGUUUAGACGUGGCUAGGAUACACAGCAGAUGUAGAUGUGGCACAGAGACACGACUGGUUUAGACGUGGCUAGGAUACACAGCAGAUAGAUGUGGCUAAGAGACAUGACUGGUUUAGACGUGGCUAGGAUACACAACAAAUGUAGAUGUGGCUAAGAGACACGACUGGUUUAGACGUGGCUAUGAUACACAGCAGAUGUAGAUGUGUAUAAGAGACACGACUGGUUUAGACGUGGCUAGGUGUCACAAUAGAUGUAGAUGUGGCUAAGAGACACGACUGGUUUAGACGUAGCUAGGUGUCACAACAGAUGUAGAUGUGGCUAAGAGACACGACUGGUUUAGACGUGGCUAGGUGUCACAACAGAUGUAGAUGUGGCUAAGAGACACGACUGGUUUAGACGUGGCUAGGUGUCACAACAGAUGUAGAUGUGGCUGAGAGACACGACUGGUUUAGACGUGGCUAGGUGUCACAACAGAUAUAGAUGUGGCUAAGAGACACGACGGGUUUAGACGUAGCUAGGAUACACAGCAGAUGUAGAUGUGGCUGAGAGACACGACUGGUUUAGACGUAACUAGGUGUCACAACAGAUAUAGAUGUGGCUAAGAGACACGACUGGUUUUGACGUGGCUAGGUGUCACAACAGAUAUAGAUGUGGCUAACAGACACGACUGGUUUAGACGUGGCUAAGUGUCACAACAGAUGUAGAUGUGGCUGAGAGACACGACUGGUUUAGACGUGGCUAGGAUACACAGCAGAUGUAGAUGUGGCUGAGAGACACGACUGGUUUAGACGUGGCUAGGUGACACAACAGAUGUAGAUGUGGCUAAGAGACACAACGGGUUUAGACGUAGCUAGGAUACACAGCAGAUGUAGAUGUGGCACAGAGACACGACUGGUUUAGACGUGGCUAGGAUACACAGCAGAUGUAGAUGUGGCUGAGAGACACGACUGGUUUAGACGUGGCUAGGAGACACAACAGAUAUAGAUGUGGCUAAGAGACACGACUGGUUUAGACGUGGCUAGGUGUCACAACAGAUAUAGAUGUGGCUAAGAGACACGACGGGUUUAGACGUGGCUAGGAUACACAACAGAUAUAGAUGUGGCUGAGAGACACGACUGGUUUAGACGUGGCUAGGAUACACAGCAGAUGUAGAUGUGGCUAAGAGACACGACGGAUUUGGGGGGGGGGGGGUGGUUGGUGAACUCUACCGACCCUCUCUGUCGUCUACCCAGCAACCGCCGGGAACUAUUUGCCCCCUUGGCGCCUGCUUGGCCUAAUCGAAUGGGGGGCUCUCUGCUAGCUCGUGUUUACCCUUUGCAUGUGUCUUGUAAGCAAUAACGUUACUGAACGUGAAUUUAAUAAAGAACAUGUGAUGCUGACGUUU